rnacentral:rRNA from 1 species
AUUGAACGCUGGCGGCAUGCCUUACACAUGCAAGUCGAACGGCAGCACGGGUGCUUGCACCUGGUGGCGAGUGGCGAACGGGUGAGUAAUACAUCGGAACGUACCUUAUCGUGGGGGAUAACGCAGCGAAAGCUGUGCUAAUACCGCAUACGCCCUGAGGGGGAAAGCGGGGGAUCGCAAGACCUCGCGCGAUUGGAGCGGCCGAUAUCAGAUUAGGUAGUUGGUGGGGUAAAGGCUCACCAAGCCAACGAUCUGUAGCUGGUCUGAGAGGACGACCAGCCACACUGGAACUGAGACACGGUCCAGACUCCUACGGGAGGCAGCAGUGGGGAAUUUUGGACAAUGGACGCAAGUCUGAUCCAGCCAUUCCGCGUGCAGGACGAAGGCCUUCGGGUUGUAAACUGCUUUUGUACAGAACGAAAAGGUCUCUAUUAAUACUAGGGGCUCAUGACGGUACUGUAAGAAUAAGCACCGGCUAACUACGUG